GAUGAACGCUAGCUGCAGGCCUAACACAUGCAAGUCGAGGGGUAACAUAGGAAAGCUUGCUUUUCUGAUGACGACCGGCGCACGGGUGCGUAACGCGUAUACAACCUACCUUUUAGCGGGGAAUAGCCCAGGGAAACUUGGAUUAAUGCCCCAUAGUAUAUAGACUUCUCCUGAAGUUUAUAUUAAACAUUUAUGGCUAUUAGAUGGGUAUGCGUCCUAUUAGUUAGUUGGUAAGGUAACGGCUUACCAAGGCAGCGAUAGGUAGGGGUCCUGAGAGGGAGAUCCCCACACUGGUACUGAGACACGGACCAGACUCCUACGGGAGGCAGCAGUGAGGAAUAUUGGACAAUGGGCGAGAGCCUGAUCCAGCCAUGCCGCGUGCAGGAAGACUGCCCUAUGGGUUGUAAACUGCUUUUACAGAGGAAGAACCACCCCCACGUGUGGGGGUUUGACGGUACUCUGCGAAUAAGGAUCGGCUAACUCCGUG
rnacentral:rRNA from 1 species